rnacentral:snRNA from 1 species
GUAUGUGAGGACGAUCUGGCUGUGACAUCUGUCACCCCAUUGAUCGCCAGGGUUGAUUCGGCUGAUCUGGCUGGCUAGGCGGGUGUCCCCUUCCUCCCUCACUGCUCCAUGUGUGUCCCUCAGUCAAAGAGGAUACCUUCUCCAAAUACGAACUGGUCUUCAGUCGAGGGUAUAGGAGUAGCAGCACUCCCCUGCUAGACCUCCAAACAAGCUCCCAUAAGCCAGAGCUAAGUAGUGCUCUAGUAUGUAUAUGUGUGUGUGCGUGUGUGUGCGUGUACACACACACACACAC